rnacentral:rRNA from 1 species
CAGUCGCCGCGGGAAUACAGAGGGUGCGAGCGUUAAUCGGAUUUACUGGGCGUAAAGCGUGCGUAGGCGGCUUUUUAAGUCGGAUGUGAAAUCCCUGAGCUUAACUUAGGAAUUGCAUUCGAUACUGGGAAGCUAGAGUAUGGGAGAGGAUGGUAGAAUUCCAGGUGUAGCGGUGAAAUGCGUAGAGAUCUGGAGGAAUACCAAUGGCGAAGGCAGCCAUCUGGCCUAAUACUGACGCUGAGGUACGAAAGCAUGGGGAGCAAACAGGAUUAGAUACCCGUGUAGUCCCUGUCUCUUAUAC